UUUGGUGCAUCCUGCAUGUUGCUUUCCACCUUGACUUAGGAAAUGUGUUAUAUCUAUGCUAACUUUCUUCUAUGCUUCUGCAUCCAGGUACGUACAAGACAAAACUCUUUGCUCCAAUGAAAUCAGAGGUGGAGGAAAAACCAAGAAGCAAACGAAUUCAUCAAAAAAUGCAAAUUGAGGGUCCCCACUCAUUUGACAUUAUUCCCUUAUUGUGUAACUUGGCUAAUGUAAAAAAAUAUAUGUGGCUUAAGCCUUCCUUAUUUUUCUUUAGUGGUGUAAAAAAAGGUAGAAUAAAAAUGUAAUUUAUUUUUGAACUUUAAAUGUAAAAAAACAAAAUAUGUGUAAAAUAAAGUGUUAAUUAGAAGCAAAAUAUGAAUUUAAAUGUAAAAUAAAAA
rnacentral:lncRNA from 1 species